CCUACGGGUGGCAGCAGUGGGGAAUAUUGGACAAUGGGCGAAAGCCUGAUCCAGCCAUGCCGCGUGUGUGAAGAAGGCCUUCGGGUUGUAAAGCACUUUCAGUGGGGAAGAAAGCCUUGGGGCUAAUACCCUCGAGGAAGGACAUCACCCACAGAAGAAGCACCGGCUAACUCCGUGCCAGCAGCCGCGGUAAUACGGAGGGUGCGAGCGUUAAUCGGAAUUACUGGGCGUAAAGCGCGCGUAGGCGGUCUGAUAAGCCGGUUGUGAAAGCCCCGGGCUCAACCAGGGAACGGCAUCCGGAACUGUCAGGCUAGAGUGCAGGAGAGGAAGGUAGAAUUCCCGGUGUAGCGGUGAAAUGCGUAGAGAUCGGGAGGAAUACCAGUGGCGAAGGCGGCCUUCUGGACUGACACUGACGCUGAGGUGCGAAAGCGUGGGUAGCAAACAGGAUUAGAUACCCCAGUAGUC
rnacentral:rRNA from 1 species